rnacentral:lncRNA from 1 species
CUAUCAUUUGAAGCACCAGAGCAAGGAGUUCAUCAUCAACAACACCAUCUAUUACCUUUUGCAGAGUGGUGUCUCUUAGAUUGGUUAGGUGUCACUUGGGAGCCUCCAAGAUAUUGUGGAGUUGAAUCAAGGAGUUUGUAAGGGCAAGGAGAUCGCCUACUUCGUGAAGAUCUACCCGAGUGAGGCUAGUCCUUCGUGGGCGUAAGCCAUGAUGGAAUAGACAAGGUUGCUUUUUCAUGGACCCUUCAUGGGUGGAGCCCUCCAUGGACUCGCGCAACCGUUACCCUCUAUGGGUUGAAGUCUCCAUCAAUGUGGAUGUACGAUAGCACCACCUAUCGGAACCAUGACAAAAAUCAUUGUGUCUUCAUUGUGUUUGAUUUCUUCGAUCUCUCCUUUACAUUCAUAUGCAAAGUCUUUACUUUCCACAGCUCAACUCUUAGACUUGCAUGUGUACGGUGUACUUGACUUGGUAGAAUUGAUAAAGCUUGCCUACCACUAAAAUUGGGAAAAGGAUAAGUUUUUAUUUCAUCAAGUAGUCUAAUAACCCCCCUCUAGAUAUACUUUCGGUCCUACACGACCCGCAUAUGCGACGCUCUGCUGCUAUAUGUAUGGGGCUGGGGGCUUGUAGGGUUAGCAAACCAGAUCCCCUUCGUCACGAAACGUCUCCUCUGCCGCUAGGUUUAGAGCACUCUACAAGCAAUUAGCCCCACCUCUCCUCUCCUUUUUCACCAUCGACGGAAGAUCCAUGGCAAGCGGAUCUAGCUGUGGUGGUCACGCCAAUGCUGGUGGAGGCCGAGGCGGGAACAGGGGCACGACUGGUAAGUGACGCCACUAUGACACCGAGCAAGAAAGCUCGAGCCAUGCCAUCGUGACGCUUUCCAGCUCAAGCAAGGAGGACGACAACAGGGGCGCAAGUGGAGGUCGAGGCAGGCUCAGGAGCGUGCCAGCAAGCAACGCCACCACGACGCCAAGCAAGCAAGCUCAAGCCACACCGUCGUGACGCUUUUCAACUCAAGCAACAAUGACAACAAAGGGUGGCGCGAGUGGAGGUCGAUGUAGGCUCGGGAGCACGGUUGGCUCUCCCGGUGUGGCGGCCGGGGAGUGUAGGGUAGGUUUGAUGUGCGACGAGCACAUCUUCCCCCACAUCCAGUGAUUCCGCACCAUGGAUGAAGAGCUCCUUGCCGAUGAGUGUGUGGUAGCGGCAAACGAAGAAGGGGCUCCCGCCCGCGUCGAAGCCUCCAAGAACAAGCACCAGGUCGAAGUGGCACUGUGGAAAUCCGCCAUGAAGUUUUACCUCGGCAUCGUUGAGUGAGUUAUGGUUAAGUUUUUAUUACUACAAGAUGACCCGUUGCACCAAUGGUGCAAAGGGCGUGAGCAAAUCAGGCUUUCAGACCAUGCAAGAUGGGAUUUUUAUACAACGAUCAUAAAAUCAACCCGUUGCGCCCCUGGAACAAAAAGCGAGAGCGAACCGAGCAUUCAAACCAAAAGAGUAGUUUAGAUAUAGAUAAUAGAAUCCUUGAAGCAUAAGGACAUAGAUACUUAGGUAUUGCAUGGUAGCAUGAUAGGCCAGAAACUUAUUUGGCUAGUUCAUGAUAGCUUAUUUACAUUGGUUUUAUAUUAGAAAGCAAGCUAUAUAGGUAGUAUCAUACAGAUAGCCCUGGUUCGGUUUCUCAGCUUGUGGUUCAUCUUUGUAGCUCCUGCUUGUAGGAAAAACCAAGACAUGCACUUGUUUCCAUAGGUAGAGUCAUCGCUACAUGUUGCAUCAGUAUCGAACAUGACCUUAUUCUCUAACCAACUCUUCAUGGCUAGGUGUUUUCGGUGGGCUGUCAUUGUUGAAAGCACAUAUGCUUUCCAUACCACUAAAACUCAUCGUCUAAGCACAAAUCUGUAGAAUGUCCCCUGAAUAUAUAGUUGCAUUGUCAAGGUUUCUACAACCUACUUUACUUGCGAGAAAGUAUGGUUAUCAUUGUCUUCGGGUGUUGAUCAUUCGCUGAGUUGUAAUAAUAUUAAGUGGAAGCCUCAAAUAAUGAAAGAAUCCCUUGUUUAACUAAAAGUUUUGCUGAUUGGAGAGGAAACAUUCUGAAGUAUACUUUGUAGUAAUUUGAUAUAAUCUAAUAAAUCAAAUAAAUCUAUACUCACUUUUGUAGAAGCUUAGAAGUAAUAUAAGAUUACCUGACAACGGACAACGAUUGAAAUUUCUUAACUAAUGUACUGUGUUAAAGAGAGAAAAGGCAUGUGCCUACACGAAAGAAUAAAUCGUAGUGAAUAUUUGCUAUAAAUAUUCUAUUACACAAAUGGCAUCCAUAUAGUCACACCUGAAUAUCGUUUAACACUAGUGUAGAUGACGAGCACAGCUUGGAUCGCCUGCGAAGAUGAAGCGUUGCCAUUGCAAUCGGCAUCAAGCACCAUAGGGUGUGCAAUCAGCAACAAGCAUGCGACUAGCACCAUAGGAAAGUAGUCUCCAAUAUGAAGAGCGAAACUAAGAGUAUGAAAAAAAUACCGACGUUUAGAUGUAUAGGAAUGCAAAAUAAAUGUUGGGGGACCAUUUUUCUUAUCAAGACAUUCACACGGGGAAUUACUACUUCGCUUUCUUGUUUCCUCCAGCUCCUUUCCCACCACUAGUGUUCCUUAAGUUCCAGACACCCAUGUUUAGCAAAAGAGGAUCAUUGUACCUGUUUACUUCAUAGCAUAAAUAAACAAGUGAUGUGAAGAACAACCCGUCUUUGAUUUUGGGUGGGUGAGAGGAUCACUGCCAUCCUCAGUAGCAACCAGAGAAGCAUGGACAUCGCCAUCGUAGUAUAAGAAAUAGAAAUCUAGUUAAAUGGAAGAGAGGUGAUGCAUACAUCAAACAAUAUUUUCAGCAAUCAAUGCAUAAUUUAAAAUAUAUAUAUGUAAGUUCCAGAUUGUUUAGUUCUUAUGAUGCACUUGUCAAUAUGUUACUAAUAUUUUCUGCAAUCCAUGUGAACCAUUGCUCAAUUCUUUGGCAAAACACAACAUAGCAAUGCGGUGUGAUCAAAUUAUAUUUUGGCAUCACUAUUUUUUCUUUCUAAUCCAUAUGAACAUUGCCAUCAGCUGUGUUUUUAAAUGACUGGUAUUCCUCUGACUAAAUAAUAGUGUGAAUAAGAAAAAAAAUAGGCAACAAACCAUUUCGGGAUUAUACAGGAAGUUGUUGACUAGGAAACUAUAAACAGAAAAACGGUUUCAUCGGGCCAAUAUGUAUUAAACCUUCAAAAGGUGAGCAAUUUGUGAUAGCAUAUCUCCCUCUUAUUUAUGAAAUUAUUCUUACUUAUAAUUGGGGCAUCUGCCAAUAAUUUCUCUCCAGCCGGUGUACAAUAACUAUGCGGCGAAAUUUCUACAUACCGAAGGUUUUCUAUUCCCUAAACCUGACAUGAUGCUUGCUCCAAUAUGCCAUGUCUACCUGGAUGAUACAAUAAAUGAAGUGCUUGUGAGUAUAAUAAAUUACCUACUGAUCAAGCUAGUGUAAGGUAGGUUGGAUUGUAGGCUGAGAAGUACCAAGCCGAGGAAGAACAAAGUUGGGCAAGGCUAAAGAUUGAGGAAUACCAUGAGGAUGUAGCAUAUAAGAAUGCAUCCCAGCCAUCUGCCCAGGAGGAACAAAACCACUUAGGCCCAAUAGUGAUGGAACAAUAGGUACAACAUUAGCAUUAUUUCCCUCAAGAAAUAUAACCAAAGUGCGCUUAGGAAUUAUUCAUAAGGAAUAAAAUAGAACAAUCAACACAACCAAUAUGAUAGUCUAAGCAUAAAAGGACCAUAUAUAUGAGUUGCAUUCCUCUAUGUAACACUACAAACUCACAAUGCGGCAAACAAUCUGAUGAUCAUAAUAGCAUAUGUGCAAUUUAAGGCUUUCACUCGUUUGAACAAAUGAGACAUCAAACAAGUAUACAAAAUUUAUUUCUCUAUCCAGCAACUCAGCCCAGCCUGCACACAUAUGGGAUAAAUCAAAAGAAUCAUGGAUUCAUGUUUCUCAAUCCAGCAACUAAGCAAGUAAUCCCAAAUUGCAAAGUACCAACAAAUAUUUAUGAGCAGAAAACAGAACGCUACAGCAACGCAACCAUCACCAAUAUUAGAUGCAUAUCAAAAUGAAUGAUAGCCGCAUGGGCAACAAAAAAAUUCAGUAUCAUAAGUUUGUGGACAUUGUCAAGAGCACAGUUCAUGGUGCCAAGAACAAGAAUGGGAGGGAGGGGUCAAACCAUUAAACGUUUAGGAAGAUCAUCGUCCUUCAUUCCCAUGUUAGUCUGCAUUACGCAAGGUGAUUGUUACUAAAUUGCAGAGCAUAUCAGCGGUCAGCGUGGAAGCACGAUCACCUAUGGGGCAGGGGUUCCCCUUUGAGGUUCGGCAAGGGGACGGUCACAUUGCGCAAAGAGCAGAAAUGGUAGGGGUGGCGUGGCGAUGGACAACUCUCUUUUGCCCAGGUUCGGGCCGCUUUGCUGCAUAAAACCCUACUCCUACUGUGGAGGAUUGAUCUGGAGGAACACGAAGACACGACGUGCUCUAGCCCGGCAAGGGUUCCUCGGGGGGCAGCAUGUACGUACAAGUGUUGGGGGAUCUAAAAUUUGAACCCCUUGCUAGGUUGCCUCGGUCCUCCUUUUAUAGCUUAAGGGGCGAGCACAGUGGCAAAAUAGUCAUUUUGGUGUGAUUAGAUAGCUAACAGUGCUAUCAUACCUAACUCUGGCGGUUAGGACAAAGCGCAUUAAAUGCACUACUAGGUGCCAUGUUGAGGUUGAACCCCGGCAAGACUGCCGCGCUGCUUAUCCAUCUUCUCCUCAUUAGCAUGACACGCCUCCAUGACGAGUGUCAAUAAAGCUAAUCUCUUCUCUAGCAUGUUGCCACGUGCCUGACAGGAUCCACCUAGCUACUUGAGAGCUUGACACCACAUUAAUUAGCAGUUGGCGUGUGAUGAGGUGGAGCAGUGGCGUCUUGGUGAAGGCUCGCCGGCAAGGAUCUUGGCGGGUUCUGAGUUUGACGGCCCCGGGAGCCUUGCCGAGGUGAUCCGGCCUUGUUCCUUAGGUGCAGCCUCGACCUGACCUGGCUCUCCUUUCCCGCAAGGGAGGCUUCCGUCAGGUGAUCUCCUUUCAACUUGAUCUUCUUAAUGCUCCCCUUGAUCUCACGAGGAGCGGUUUCUCUGGCUUAUCUCGCGUCAUGCAUAGAUACUUGAUGUAUGAAUGACUUUACGCAUGUGCGUGAGUACGGGCGGCAAACAUAAAUGUUUGCUGCACCGACAUAUGCAAAUAAAAACAAAAGUGGGUCUACUUGAUUGAGAUAAAUAGUGGAUAUAUGAGGACAAGAGUGCAGACAUCACACAAGUAUUUCAAAUAUAUAUGCUCUUCUUUGUAGCUAUCUUUGUUCUGUUUGGUAAAGUUAAAUGGGGAAUAAAAAAGAGACUAUCUUGAUGCCAUCGCAGAACCUCUGAAUUUUGAUAACCAUACAACCGUAUGUUUGCUUAAUGAAAAAAACAAACUAUACAAACCAUUUACAGGAAUAUCGAUAACAAACUUGUUCCAUCUUGAAUAAAAAAAUUCUACCAAAUGUUCCGCAACCAGACCAUUUUUCCAAUACAUUUAGCUCAAUAUGCACAACUCAUGUAUAUUAGGCAUAGUUUUAAAUAGCCGGCUAUAGCCCCUCUAUAGCUCUGCUAUAGCUGUUUGAGGGUGUUGCCGCUAAAUGAUUUCAUGUACAAUUUGCCGCUAUAGCUCGGCUAUAGCUGUUUUUAAGGGUUGCCGCUAAAUGCCAUAGCCCGCUAUUUAAAACGUUAUUAUUAGCACAAAUUAUAACAGCAAAAUGAACCAUGUUCGCAUGAAAGAGAGAGAGUCACCUUGUUCUUCACCAAAUUCUUCUACCGUGCCUUCUGUUCCUCUUCUCUCUCAGAUCUGACAGGUUGUGGUGUUUAGAUAAAAUGAAUACCAGGAAAUCAAAACCAGAAAAACAAAAAAGUAACAGGGGAGAGCACCUAAUAGCGAUUGUCGAGAACUGCAUCUUACUAUAGUCGCACAUUCUAUGGCAGCACCCAACCACUACAAAGACAAAUUCAGGAACAUCUGUGACACAGAGAGUAGUGGAAUAAGAUAGAGUACAUCAAGAGAGGGGAGAACAAGAGGUGGGGAGGAUAAAAAUACCUACAGGCACAACAUCUCUUGCCAAGGAGGUCGGCAGGGAGUCUCCAAUGCCAGCUCCAUGGCUGAGCCGAGCCAAGCCGCCUCCUGGCUCGGCGGUCUCACCUCCCUCUUUCCCAUAUGUGCAUCAUCGACGCCGACGGUGCUCUCUUCCUUGAUCCAUGCCACCGGCUGCUCCUCGCCUUCAUCUGCAUUGCCGACCUCUUCUCUCCUUUCAUCCAUGCCGUCAUCUGCUCUUCUCCCUCGCCUCCUCCUCACCUUCCCUGUCUCAGUCUCGAGCUCGAGCUCCAACCUAUCACCCGCCAGAUCCGGCCCGUAAACCCCUCCUUCCUCACCAGGCGCUGGAGCUCACCCAUGUCUUCUCCUACACCUCAUGAAGUGUGCGCCACCUUGCUCCUUCCCCAUGGUAACUCAGUUUCACAUCUUGUGGUCGAUUGUUGUAGCUCCUGCUUGUAGGCAAAACCAAGACAUGCACUUGUUUCCAUAGGUAGAGUCAUCGCUGCUUGUUGCAUCAGUAUCGAACAUGACCUUAUUCUCUAACCAACUCUUCAUGGCUAGGUGUUUUCUGUGGGCUGUCGUUGUUGAAAGCACAGAUGCUUUCCAUACCACUGAAACUCAUCGUCUAAGCACAAAUCUGUAGAAUGUCCCCUGAAUAUAUAGUUGCAUUGUCAAGGUGUUCUACAACCUACUUUACUUGUGAGAAAGUAUGGUUAUCAUUGUCUUCGGUUGUUGCUCAUUCGCUGAGUUGCAAUAAUAUUAAGUGGAAGCCUCAACUAAUGAAAGAAUCCCUUAUUUAACUAAAAGGGUUGCCGAUUGGAGGGGCAAACAUUCUGAAGUAUACUUUCUAGUAGUUUGAUAUAAUCUAAUAAAUCAAAUAAAUCUAUAGUCACUUUGGUAGAAUCUUAGAAGUAAUAUAAGAUUACCUAACAGCGGACAACGAUUCAAAUUUCUUAACUAGUGUACUGUGUUAAAGAGAGAAAAGGCAUGUGCCUAUACGAAAGAAUAAAUUGUAGUGAAUAUUUGCUAUAAAUAUUCUACAACACAAAUGGCAUGCAUAUAGUCGCGCCCGAAUAUAGUUUAACACUAGUGUAGAUGACGAGCACAGCUUGGAUCCCCUGAGAAGAUGAAGCGUUGCCAUUGCAAUCGGCAUCAAGCACCAUAGGGUGUGCAAUCAGCAACAAGCACGAACAAGCACCAUAGGAAAGUAGUCUGCAAUAUGAAGAGCGAACCAGAGAGUAUGAAAAAAAUACCGAUGUUUAGAUGGAUAGGAAUGCAAAACAAAUGUUGGGUGGACCAUUUGUCAUGUCAUGGGCAUUCACCCAGGGAAUUACUGCUUCGCUUUCUUAUUUCCUCCAGCUCCUUUCCCACCACUAGUGUUCCUUAAGUUCCAGACACCCAUGUUUAGUAAAAGAGGAUCAUGUACCUGUUUACUUCAUAGCGUACAUAAACAAGCAAUGGGAAGAACAACAUGUCUUUGAUUUUGGGUAGGUGAGAGGAUCACUGCCAUCCUUAGUAGCAGCCAGAGAAGCAUCGGCAUCGCCAUCCUAGUAUAAGAAAUAGAAAUAUAGUUAAAUGGAAGAGAGGUGAUGCAUACAUCAAACAAUAUUUUCAGCAAUGAAUGCAUAAUUUAAAAUAUAUAUAUAAGUUCCAGAUUAUUUAGUUCUUAUGAUGCACUUGUCAUUCUGUUACUAAUAUUUUCAGCAAUCCAUGUGAACCAUUGCUCAGUUCUUUGGCAAACCACAACAUUGUAAUGCGGUGUGAUCAAAUUAUAUUUUGGCAUCACUAUUUUUUCUUUCUAAUCCAUGCGAACAUUGCCAUCAGUUGUGUUUGUAAAUGACUAGUAUUCCUCUGAACUAAAUAAAUGUGUCAAUAAGAAAAAAUAAAUAAGCAAUAAUCCAUUUCGGGGUAAUAUAGGGAGUUGUUGAUAUAGGAAACUACAAACAGAAAAACGGCUUCAUCAGGACGAUAUGAAUUAAACUUCAAACGGUGAGCAAUUUAUGAGAACAUAUCUCCCUCUGAUUUAUGAAAUUAUUCUUUCUUAUAAUUGGGGCAUCUGUCCAAUAAUUUCUCUCCAACCGGUGUACAGUAACUAUGGGGCGAAAUUUCUACAUACUAAAGGUUUUGUAUGCCCUAAACCUGACAUGAUGCUUGCUCCAAUAUGCCAUCUCUACCUGGAUGAUACAAUAAAUGAUGUGCUUGUGAGUAUAAUAAAUUGCCUACUCAUCAGGCCAGUGUAAGGUAGGUUGGAUUGUAGGCUGAGAAGUACCAAACCGAGGAAGACCAGAGUUGGGCAAGGCUAAAGAUUGAGGAAUACCAUGAGGAUGUAGCAUAUAAGAAUGCAUCCGAGCCAUCUGCCCAGGAGGAACAAAACCAUUAGUCCUAAUAGUGAUGGAACAAUAGGUACAACAUUAGCAUUAUUUCCCUCAAGAAAUAUAACCAAAGUGCGCUUGGGAACUAUUCAUAAGGAAUAAAAUAGAACAAUCAACACAACCAAUAUGAUAAUCUAAGCAUAAAAGGACCAUAUAUAUGAGUUGCAUUCCUCUAUGUAACACUACAAACUCAAAAUGCAGCAAACAAUCUGAUGAUCAUAAUAGCAUAUGUGCAAUUUAAGGCUUUCACUCGUUUGAACAAAUGAGACAUCAAACAAGUAUACAGAAUUUAUUUCUCUAUCCAGCAACUCAGCCCAGCCUGCACACAUAUGGGAUAAAUCAAAAGAAUCACAUAUUCAUGUUUCUCAAUACAGCAAGGCAGCAACUAGGCAAGUAAUCCCAAAUUCCAAAGUACCAACAAAUAUUUAUGAGCAGAAAACAGAACGCUACAUCAGUGCAACCAUUACCAAUAUUGGAUUGCAUAUCAAAACGAAUGAUAGCCACAUGGGCAACAAAAAAAUUCAGUUUCAUAAGUUUGUGGACAUUGUCAAGAGGACAGUUCAGUUCAUGGUGCCAAGAACAAGAAUGGUGGGAGGGGUCAAAACAUUAAACGUUCAGGAAGAUCAUCAUCCUUCGUUGCCAUGUUAGUCUGCAUUACGCAAGAUGAUUGUUACUCCCUCCGUCCCAAAAUAUACAAUAUUUUUCCUCCGAGCGUAACGAAAUUUUUGACGUUUCCACUUUUGCCCUGGCGACCGAUUCCACUCCUCUCGUCUCGGGACUCCCACUCCUCUCGCGUUCCUCUCUCCGACAGCCCCAAAUCCCUAGCUCACCCACUCCUCCCUAGUGUCGUUGCUGCCGCCUCCCACUCGCCGGCAUCGUUGAGCCUCCCUCUAGCCGGUGUCUCCUCUCCCAUUCCCCUCGCUCACCUACUCCCCUCCAAAGAUGGCGUCGUCCCCUCUGCCCGUCUGGUGUCCUCGCCUAUCUUCCAAAGAUUGCUUUUUUUUACUCCAACGCAUCUGAAGCGGUGAUGGGUACUUGUGCGGAGGCGGCGGAGGCAGCGGCGGCGCUGUAUCUAAAGAGGGCACCAUAGCAGCAAUGGCAGCAUUGGAUCUGAAGCGGUUGACGGCACCGUUGCGGCGGGAGGAGCAAUUAUGGCGAGCACUACCACGACGGUGAGUCCUUGUGUUUGUACUCUGUACUGAUGCUGCUACUUAAGUGAUGCUGCGACAGAGUGGUUCUGCUCCGAUGAUGCUACUGUAUUUCUGCUCUAGUGAUGGUGUUGUAGUAGUAGUUCUGCUCUAGUGAUGUUGCUGCUUUAGAUCUUGUGAAGUUAUGAUGGAGCUCAAGUCUAGUAAAGUUCUUGUGAUGGAGUAAACAUCACUGAAUUUUGCUUGCAGUGUUGUUCACUGAAUUUUCCUUGCAGUUUUGUUCACUGAAUUUUGCAUGUGAACUUUUGGCUGCUCCUUGUGAUGUUUACUAAAUUUUACUCCAUUAACAUAUGCUUGUAGUGAUGUGCAGGUAGUAAAGUUUUACUGAGCUCACUAAAGCUUGUGCUUGUGCUUCAGAUCUGCUUUUUUGCUUGUGAGGAACAAAGGGAACAAAAGGAGUACUGCUCUAGUGAUGCUCUACUGACUUGCUGUACAUUUGUGGGAAUAACUUGAUUUCUUCUUGUACAUUUUCAGUUAAAAGAUGUUUGGUGUAUGCUUGCUUGUUGUACAUGAUGGAGGAUUAUUGGAGUAAUUUGAGUAAGCAUUUUUUCUGUUUGCGUUGUUGCAGUCCAAGACGAUUGAUCGAUGCAGCUGCUACCUGCUGCUGCUGUAUGCACCAUGUCUGAAGAAGACCCCUCUGUGGACCGAACUCUCUGGAGUACUGUAAGCAUGCACACUCUGUUAUGAAUGGAAUGAAAUUGUUUAUGUGAAGUGUUAUUUUUCUUGCUCCUGUAGUAGUAGUUCUUCAUUUGAAGUGUGAGUUGUACUCCUACUUGUUCAUGUGAUUGUUUUGCUUGUUCAUAUGGAAUGGAAUUUGUUCUUCAUGGAGUACAACAGGAGUGGUAGUCUCAAGUCAAAUUGGUUGUUCAUGUGUUGCUGUUGAUGCAACUGUUGUUCUCCAACUGGAGUAGUUUUAACUUCUGGUAGAGUAGUUAAAACAUGAUGUAGUAAAUUGUAAAACUUCAGUUAGAGUAGUUAAAACAUGUUGUACUACUUGUAGUAGCAGUGGUGGUCAUCUAGUUAAAAAAAUUGUACUUGGAGUAGCAGUGGUGGUCAUCUAGUUAAAACGUGUUGUUUGUUGUACUUGGAGUAUUAGAUGGAGUAUAAUGCUCUAUAGGAUUUCUUUUCUUUUAGGAUUCCUUUUUCUUUUACUCCUCUCCUCUCUCUUCUCUCCUCUCUACUCCUUUCUUCUCUGGACUUGUUGUACUAUUAGGAUUUCUUUUACUUUAGGGUUUCUCUCCUCUGUCUUCUCUCCUCUCCUCUCUCUUCUCUCCACACAAAGUUCCUAAGGAUUACUCAUAGGAAUAUAUAAUUUCAUUCUCUCCUCCCCUCUCCUCUCUCUUGUCUCCUCUUCUCUUCUUCCCUUGUCUCCUCUCCACACAACUUUGAAAAAUUCACAAAGUUCUUGUUUACUCCACACACAAAAUUCAGAAACAAUUUUAAGAAAUCCACAAUGAUGCCUACAAGAAAUCCACAAUGAUGCAUACAAACAUAUGGAUCACAUAACAAGUCUCUCAUCAAGCCUCUCAUCAGAAGGAGUACAAACAUAUGGAUCACAUCACAAGCAUCUCAUCACAAGGAGUACAAACAUAUGGAUCACAUCACAAGCAUCUCAUCAUCCAGCCUCUCAUCACAAGCAUCUCACCAUCCAGCCUCUCAUCACAAGCCUCAGUGUUCAUCUUGUUCUAGAUUCUCUAAGGCAUUGUAGUACACUUCACAUGGGAAAUGGAUCCUAGGAAGUAGAAUUCCAUCUCUUUCAAAUCUUUGUUUGGUGACGUGUGGAAUUUUGUAAGCAUUUCCUCCUGCAUGAUUCAUGACUUCAACCAUACAUGUUUGGAGUGUUAGGAAGAUUCUGUUGAGUUUUCCAACUUCAUAGUCAUCGAAUUCUUCUUCUACACCUUGAGUUAGUUCGGGGAUGGUGGUAGGGGCUCUGCAGUCCGUUAGAGACUCUAGGGAUUUGAAGUACCCAAGGUCAAGAGCGUUCAAGUCAGGAGAAUUUGGGGGUUGUUGCACUAGUUUGAUGUCCAUACCGGUCUCAGCCAUUGCUUCUGCAAACUCAACAUCAUUAGGUAAAAUAUGUGUCCUUGCAUUGUCCUGUUGGAUGAGGACUGUUUGUCCAACAUCUCCAAAGGGCCACACAUCUUUUAUUGCAGGAACAACUUUCUCAAUCAUGUAUCAUCUCAUGACUUCUCUGUUCACCAUGAGUGACUUGAAUUCUAUGACACCUCGUUCUUUAUUUUCACUCCUUCUUUAUGUCACAACUGUUGUGACGAAAGGCCAAACCCCAAUCUUUCCUGAGAAUGUGACAUUCCCGUCAGCGUCGUAUCUGGGCCUUGCAACUGCUGUGAGAAACAUCACCUUUCCAAUCUUGUUUGGAACUGGCCUUACUGGGUCUUCUUCAUCUGGCAUUAGGUAGUAGUUUAUGUUCCUUUUUGUCAUGAGAAACCAUUUCUCAUCAAUAUGCACAAUAUUAUGCAUAGUGUUGAAGCAAAUUCUUUCAUUCUGCAGGGUUGUCUGGUCCAGCAUCGACAUGCAAAAUCGAACCCUUUCUCUCUUAUUCUUCUCUUUCAAAGGCGGCUUCACCCUGUUGGAGUGCCUCCUUAUCAUUAAGCUGGAAUUUCCUGUGGAGUGUGGAGCGGCUGACACCCAAUGCAGCAGCAAGUGAUCAUAUGCUUGACCUUCUGUGUAGUGGAACUGCUGAGAUUUGUGAUAGAAAGCCAUCAACCACUUUUGUGCCGCAUCUUUCUGGUUGACACAUCCACCUGUUGACCAAGAGCAAUCUGUUUCUUUGCUAUCUUCCAAAUUCUUUUAAUGAGUUGGAUGUCUACUUGAAACAAUGCAGCCACGUCCUGCUUAUCGUUCCCUUUCAAAUCUCCACCUCUCUUAAUACUUAGCGCUUGCAUUGCCAUAUAAGCAGCAUAUCUCUUCUCAUUUGUUAGUGAUUUUCUCUUCCUCCGUAUUUGUUGAACACCUACAGUAGCAAUGCAACAAGAAAAUUAGAGAAAUUGUGCACUUGGAGAACAUGGAUGAAUAUAAAUUCAGUAAAAUCCACUUGGCUGAAUUUGAAUGCACUUAAGCGCAUAUAUAUCUUCAGUUAAGUGCAUUCAAAUUCAGUUAAGUCCAUUUAAAUCCACUUGACCAAAUUUGAAUGCACUUAAGCACAUAUAUAUUCAGUUAAGUGGAUUCUAAACUUAUUGCAGACUUGUGGUACAUAUAGUGUAAUUAAGUUCAUUUUAAUUCAUUUAAGUAGUAUGUAAAUACAUAUUCAGUUAAGAAUAUGUAUAUUCAAUUUACCUGCUUCUCCCACUGCUUCUCCCAUAGCUUGAUCCUCUUCUUCUCCCACUGCUUCUCCCAUAGCUUGAUCCUCCUCUUCUCCAACAACAUGUUCCUCUUCUCCUCCCACAUCUUCAUCCACAUCUUCUGGUGGAGAAAAGUUUAGGUCAAAGUUCAUGUUCCAAAUUCAGAGUUUGGAGCUGGAGCUGGAGUACAAGAAGCAAACAUAUUAAGAAUUUUGGAAUAAAAGUAAAUUGUUGGAGUACAAGUAAUUGGAGUAUGAACAUUUAAAUGGAGUAAACUUUUGCUUGAUGUCAAUUUAAAUUCAGAAUUGCUACAAAUUGCAGUCAAUUUAAGUGCAUAGGUUUGCAAUCAAUUUACCAUUGGAGUAGGAGUAAAUAUUGGUUUGUCUAGGUUUGUGCUAAGUGGUUGUUUUCUGUAAAUUAACAACAUGAACCAUGUCAAAUUCAGUUAAUUAUUGUACUGCAUUGGUUUCUUUAAUGUUGCGAUUCUUUAAUUCUCUGUUCUUUGAAAUCAUCAGGACUCCUGAUCAAUUAAGAUCAUGCAAUCUGUUUUCUCUGUUUGCUCUACUAUAUUCUCUGUGUAAAGUGAAAUACUAAGUCAUUCUCUGAAUAACGCCACUUGCUGCCACUAUAUUCUCUAUAAUUCUGAUUAAAUCAUCAGCUUGUGAGGUGAGGCACUAAAACUCUUGUGACAACAAGUCACCCAUACUUGAGGUGAGGCACCCAUCAGCUUGUGAUAACAACAAGUCACGCAUCAUAAUUGUGUGUACAUAAGUGUUUGGUGAGAGUGGCUCUACAAAUCAUAACAAGAAGUAUUCCAAGUAGUUCAGCUCAGAUGCAUCAUAAUUGUUCAUAUCAUAAUUGUACUACUGAAAAUUGUUUGGAUCAUUAUUGUUCUGCUGAUAUCUACUGAUUUUUUCCAUUAACACUGAUUUUUCAAUUAACAAUAUUCAGUUAACACUGAUUGUUGUAGCUGCUGUAAUCAGUUUAUUCCAGUUGAUAUGUACCUUGUCCUUGUAAUCACUUGUUAAAACUUGUUGUUAUGUUCAGUUUGAAGUAUAUCUGGCAGCUGUUAUUGAUCUGUACCUUGUCUCUGCAAUCAAUUGUUAAAUCUUGCUUCUGUUGGUCAAUUUGAAGUGAAUCUUACUGCUGUUGUUGAUCUAUACCUUGUCUCACAGUAUUGCAUUUCAAAUUUCUGUUUCCUGGAUUAAAAUUUCAAUUUCCUGCAAACAAUUUAAUCAGUAUUGCAAUUCAAAUUUCAGUUUCACUUCAAAUUUCCUGGAGUAUUGUACUGAUCUCUAUCUUGUUUGUCGGCUUCUCUGUUGAUCUGGAGCCUCGAGAUUCUCUACUUCUCGUUUGAUCUGGAGCUUCUCUGCUUCUCUACUUCCUGCAAUCUUCUCUGAUGCUUCUCUAAUGAUCUUCUUUGUUGAUUUUGUUGCAGCCUGGAUCUUCUGGCCAAGGAGGAGCACAGCGAGUAGCAGCCUGGGCACUGACUAGGAGGCGUUGGGGCCUGGGCGAGCCUGGGAGGAGGCGUUGGGGCCUAGGCGAGGAGGCGCUAGGCGCAGCGAGCCUGGGAGAGGAGCCGAUGGGCGUAGCGAGCUGGAGGCGCUGGGUCGAGGAACUGCUGGUGCUGGGCGAUGGCGACGUGCAGGAGCUGCUGGUGCUGGGCGACGGUGACGUGCAGGAGCUGCUAGGAGAUGCGCCUGGAGCUCGUGGGCGUUGGGCGCUGGGUGCGGCGAGGCGGCAAGCGCUACGCGUGGGGAAGAACCGAGGGCAUGGUGCCAUGGUCUCGUGGGUGCCUAGUGCCAUGGACGCGUGGGUGAUUUUGAAUUUGAAUUUCUGAGAAGGAUUGAGGAAGACGAUCGCGGGGAAGACGAUCGCAGGGGUAGAAACGUCCUUCUGACAGAAAUCGGUGCUGUCGGAAUUUUGAAAAUGCUCCUACAUUUCAGGACGGAGUGAUUGAGUGUUGGGGACACUAUCAUUUGAAGCACAAGAGCAAGGAGUUCAUCAUGAACAACACCAUCUAUUACCUUUUGCAAAGUGGUGUCUCUUAGAUUGGUUAGGUGUCACUUGGGAGCCUCCAAGAUAUUGUGGAGUUGAAUCAAGGAGUUUGUAAGGGCAAGCAGAUCGCCUACUUCAUGAGAAUCUACCCGAGUGAGGCUAGUACUUCGUGGGCGUAAGCCAUGAUGGAAAAGACAAGGUUGAUUCUUCAUGGGUGGAGCCCUCCAUAGACUCGCGCAAAUGUUACCCUCUAUGGGUUGAAGUCGCCAUCAAUGUGGAUUUACGAUAGCACCACCUAUCGGAACCAUGACAAAAAUCAUCGUAUCCUCAUUGUGUUUGAUAUCUCCGAUCUCUCCUUUACAUUCAUAUGCAAAGUCUUUACUUUCCGCUGCUCAACUCUUAGACUUGCAUGUGUAGGGUGUGCUUGACUUGGUAGAAUUGCUAAAGCUUGCCUACCACUAAAAUUGGGAAAAAGAUAAGUUUUUAUUACGUCAAGUAGUCUAAUAACCCC